rnacentral:lncRNA from 1 species
UUUGUGCAUACAUCCUGAGAAAGCCCAGAGAAAGUUUUUAAUGGCUCAGGGCCCUGGAAAGACCCUCCCUGUCCUCUCACCAAGCCCUUGCUGCGGGUGUAAAAGUGAAAAAGCCAGCCAAGAAACUGCAAAGAUAAGCUAAGCUAACUUUAUGUGCUGCUUUCAAUCUUUUCCCACUAAUGGCAAAUGACUUUUGUUGUCAGAAAUCACAAAGUCGGCUCAGUAAUCAACUACCCAUAUUAGAUUCCUAUUAAUAUGCCAACCCAAAAGUUGGAAACUCCCGUGCCAAUGCAAAACUCGAGAGCACACC